UGGGGAAUAUUGCACAAUGGAGGGAACUCUGAUGCAGCGACGCCGCGUGAACGAAGAAGGCUUUCGAGUCGUAAAGUUCUUUUAUAUGGGAAGAUAAUGACGGUACCAUAAGAAAAAGCCCCGGCUAACUACGUGCCAGCAGCCGCGGUAAUACGUAGGGGGCUAGCGUUGUCCGGAAUCACUGGGCGUAAAGGGUUCGCAGGCGGAAAUGCAAGUCAGGUGUAAAAGGCAGUAGCUUAACUACUGUAAGCAUUUGAAACUGCAUAUCUUGAGAAGAGUAGAGGUAAGUGGAAUUUUUAGUGUAGCGGUGAAAUGCGUAGAUAUUAAAAAGAAUACCGGUGGCGAAGGCGAGUUACUGGGCUCAUUCUGACGCUGAGGAACGAGAGCGGGGGUAGCAAACAGG
rnacentral:rRNA from 1 species